rnacentral:rRNA from 1 species
CCUACGGGGGACUGCAGUGAGGAAUAUUGGUCAAUGGGCGGAAGCCUGAACCAGCCAAGUAGCGUGCGGGAUGAAGGCCCUACGGGUCGUAAACCGCUUUUGCACGGGGAUAACACCCUCCACUUGUGGAGGUCUGCAGGUACCGUGCGAAUAAGGGCCGGCUAAUUCCGUGCCAGCAGCCGCGGUAAUACGGAAGGCCCGAGCGUUAUCCGGAUUCAUUGGGCUUAAAGGGAGCGUAGGCGGGCGUUCAAGUCAGCUGUAAAAUCGCGCGGCUCAACCGCGCCCCGCAGUUGAAACUGGACGCAUUGAGUUCACAACAGGCAGGCGGAAUUCGUGGUGUAGCGGUGAAAUGCAUAGAUAUCACGAGGAACCCCGAUUGCGAAGGCAGCCUGCCGGGGUGCGACUGACGCUGAGGCUCGAAGGUGCGGGUAUCAAACAGGAUUAGAUACCCCAGUAGUC